rnacentral:lncRNA from 1 species
GCAAAGAGCGCAGGAGCCUCCGGGGGAUGAGAAUGUUCUAGGGGGGCUGAACUCUGGGCUAUUUGAGGGGCCCUUGAAUGAAUGGAUGCACUGCUUUCUGGGCAAACGGCCACAGCCAAAGGACAGUGUGAUUUCAAGAAAGAAGUCGGGGAACACGGGUCUCCUGCACAACCUCGAGUGGUCUGAAGUCACCGAACGCUUGGGAACACCUGGGCAGAGAAGACCGGCCACAAGAGCUGCAUAUCAGCGGAGCUCAGAGAAACCGAACAGGCCUGGGAGGCCGUGAGGGUGUUUCCAGCUGUGUUUGGGAACUGAUUGGCCAAGGACCCACACUGGAGAGCUUUGGGCAUCGUAACAGUGAACGGUAAGGGACACGGGAUCUGAACUCAUCUCUCCAAAGGGCAUCAGUGGGGGACGAGGAUGAGGUGGGUGCACUGUCAGUGCGGCUGUCCCUGGGUUUGGAAAUACGGUCGGAACCACGUUCGCAGCACUA